rnacentral:rRNA from 1 species
AACUAACCUCACACCAUCCUAUAUACACCCAAUCCCAUCCAAUUUCAGAAGCUAAGCAGGGUUGGGCCUGUUUAAUUGGAUGGGAGACGACCAGGUAAUACCAGUGCAGUGCAGUGG